rnacentral:rRNA from 1 species
UAAAUCAAAUACAACUUUCAACAACGGAUCUCUUGGCUCUCGCAUCGAUGAAGAACGCAGCGAAAUGCGAUAAGUAAUGUGAAUUGCAGAAUUCAGUGAAUCAUCGAAUCUUUGAACGCACCUUGCGCUCCUUGGUAUUCCGAGGAGCAUGCCUGUUU